GGGGAUGUUUUUUGGAUUCGACAGGUAUAGGUCGAGUUUCAACUGCGUUUCGAAGGUUGCGUCUUCGUAAAAACGCUCAGUUUUAAAUUAUAACUGCAAACAAUAAUUCAAACUCUUACGCAGUUGCUGC
rnacentral:tmRNA from 1 species